UACGUAGGGGGCAAGCGUUGUCCGGAUUUAUUGGGCGUAAAGCGCGUGUAGGUGGCCAUGUAGGUCCGUUGUGAAAACUCGAGGCUCAACCUCGAGACGCCGAUGGAAACCAUGUGGCUAGAGUCCGGAAGAGGAGAGUGGAAUUCCUGGUGUAGCGGUGAAAUGCGCAGAUAUCAGGAAGAACACCCGUGGCUAAGGCGGCUCUCUAGUACGGUACUGACGCUGAGACGCGAAAGCGUGGGGAGCGAACAGG
rnacentral:rRNA from 1 species